rnacentral:tRNA from 7 species
AGGGUUGUAGUUAAUUAUAACAUUUGAUUUGCAUUCAAAAAGUAUUGAAGAUAUUCAAUCUUC